CCUACGGGGUGCUGCAGGCGAGAAAACUUUGCAAUGUGCGAAAGCACGACAAGGUUAAUCCGAGUGGUUUCUGCUAAAGAAACCUUUUGUUAGUCCUAGAAACACUGAUGAAUAAGGGGUGGGCAAGUUCUGGUGUCAGCCGCCGCGGUAAAACCAGCACCUCAAGUGGUCAGGAUGAUUAUUGGGCCUAAAGCAUCCGUAGCCGGCUAUGUAAGUUUUCGGUUAAAUCUGUGCGCUUAACGUACAGGCUGCCGGGAAUACUGCAUAGCUAGGAAGUGGGAGAGGUAGACGGUACUCGGUAGGAAGGGGUAAAAUCCUUUGAUCUAUUGAUGACCACCUGUGGCGAAGGCGGUCUACCAGAACACGUUCGACGGUGAGGGAUGAAAGCUGGGGGAGCAAACCGGAUUAGAUACCCCCGUAGUC
rnacentral:rRNA from 1 species